CUGUCUAUGCCAGAUUUAUGCACCAUCAAAGCACAACGAUUACGAGUCAAAAUGCUUCCCAGGGAUAGAUGAUGCUGUUGAAAAUGCAAAUAAACUCAACACUAAAGAAUCGUGGGGUGCGGCACAACAUGAAAUUUGGAGGCUGUAAAGCAAGAUUUUACUGUUGUGUGAAAGAGAGCAUGCUUGCUUCAGUCUCUACAAAUACUUCAUCAAGCUCAACACUCUACAAUCACUCAACUCAGACGAAUUAAACUUUCAAAUUAAUAUAUUGACUCUUUGCAUCUGGAUCUUGCGUUGUUUCUCGGCUCUCACAUCAAGGUUUCACAUUUUUUGUCGGCUUUUUACAUCUGCCUCUUGCAUUAUUGUAAGUUCUUCCAAAUUUCUUGGUUUU